rnacentral:rRNA from 1 species
UGAGGAAUAUUGGUCAAUGGACGAGAGUCUGAACCAGCCACGUAGCGUGCAGGAUGACGGCCCUAUGGGUUGUAAACUGCUUUUGUUUGGGAAUAAUCGACAUUACGUGUAAUGUUUUGCAUGUACCAUUCGAAUAAGGAACGGCUAAUUCCGUGCCAGCAGCCGCGGUAAUACGGAAGGUCCAGGCGUUAUCCGGAUUUAUUGGGUUUAAAGGGAGUGUAGGCGGUUGGUUAAGCGUGUUGUGAAAUGUAGAUGCUCAACAUCUGACUUGCAGCGCGAACUGGCUGACUUGAGUACACACAACGUAGGCGGAAUUCAUGGUGUAGCGGUGAAAUGCUUAGAUAUCAUGAAGAUCUCCGAUUGCGAAGGCAGCUUACGGGAGUGUUACUGACGCUUAAGCUCGAAGGUGCGGGUAUCGAACAGG